GGGGAGACACUCUGUCUCCCCCUCCAGCAGCAGGGCUGUAUGUCCAAAGCGGGGACAGUCAGUCUCCCCCUCCAGCAGAAGGACUAUGUAACCAAAGCAGCCCCAGAUCCCAAGAGAGGAGCAUACCAACUCUUCUUUUCAGCAUGGCUCCAACCAGGCUACUCCUGUGGUAGCGCUGGCACCAGGGUAGAGUACUGCGGGUCUCUGCCCCCUCAGCAAUCCACCAAGGCAGCCUAUCCGUACCCCACACAGCCGUGUUGAGGCACCUGGACAUGGACGAGCUAAUCUUUUACCUAGGUGUAGUAACCAUGUAUUGUGGGUGGG